UAAUAAAAUUCUUCUUGCAGUGAUCUCUUCAAAUGAAACUACAAAUCUCAUAAAAUUUAAUAUACCAUUUUAUAGAUCAUUGAAGUUUUAGAUUGUGAAGGGUCUUUGGCUGGUUCAUACAAAACUUGCGAAGAGACUAUAUGUAUGUUGGCCAUAUAUAAUUCAUUUGACCUUGUAAAGUGUAAUAAGCAGUAAUAAAGCCAAGCUAGAACCUUGAAGGUUGUUUCCAUUAAAUAUAGAACAUCAUUUUUGGACUUAUAAAUAGGUCCUAAAUUCACAUUUUGGGUUGAAAUUAUGACGAAAACUUUCCCUGAUGUUCUGCUAAUAUUUUCUACAUAUAGUUUGAAUUUCUAUUGAUAUUGCAACUAGGACGACUGAUGUAGAGAGAAUGAAAUGAAGCAAUCCAAGUUCAAGAGGAUUUGUGUCUUCUGUGGACUAGCCACGGCAAGAAGAGCAGCUACCAAGCAAUCCACAUUUACUUUUCUCUCUUCACUUCAUUACCUUGGACUAGCUGGAGCAAGAUAAGCAGCUACCAUGCAAUCCACAUUUGUGUCUUCCGAAGAAGAAUUAUUUUUAGUGGUUUUUCUUGUCUUAAUAACUAAAUUCAAAUAACGGGGAAAAUAAAUGGUAUAUUGGCUUGAGGUGAUGCUUAUCAGUGUUGGCUUAUAAUCUCUGUGAAUCAAGGAACCCCUUUGUAGAAUAUGCUGUGCAAUAUGCUGUAGCAGCAGCCCUUGCGACAUUGGAAAAGGAUAAGAACGAUUUGCUACACAAACUACUUUUACAAGGUCUUGACAUUACAAUCUUAGGUUGCAAUGACUUCUAUUCAUAUUGGAAUCAGGUGGGGUUUAUCAUGUGAGAUUUGAAAAGGGAAAGUUGGCAGUGGUUUUGAUGUUAGUUCUGCAGUUUAUGGUAAGUCAACGAUAUGUUCGCUCUUCACCAGAAUUGCUUUCUUCUGCUCAGGAUGCUGUUUUUUUUUGAAUGAAUAAAAUUGCAGGAUGUAGUUAAAGGAAAAGCGAGAAGUCAUUGGUGAUGUGCUGAAUGGCAAAUGGGACCAUAAGAGGACUACAUAUUGAAUCCCUUAGUAGUUGGAUUUUUCGGCUCCGAUGGAGCAGAUUUUGGAUAGACUGCAGGCAUUUGGUGAAUUUGAGUUCAAACAUUUUGGGGACAAGGUUAUUGUUGACGAACAAAUAGAGAGGUACAUUUCAAUGCAGUUUGGUGAAACAGAUAUGUGCAAUUCUACUGUAUAAUCUGUUUUUAGUGGUGUAUAAUGUUGCUUAGUUAGAGAUAUUGCUCUUUGAUUGUUUUUGAAUUGGCAUUUUUCGUUUUGUUUUUCUUUGAGAUUUUAGUUAAUAUUUUUUUGUAGGGGAUAUGAAUGAGAUAUUUCGUGGCAGUUCAUUUCUUUAA